rnacentral:misc_RNA from 1 species
UACAGAGGUCCCAAGCGUUGUUCGGAUUCACUGGGCGUAAAGGGUGCGUAGGCGGUCGGGUAAGUCUGACGUGAAAUCUUCGAGCUCAACUCGGAAACUGCGUCGGAUACUAUUCGGCUAGAGGAAUGGAGGGGAGACUGGAAUACUUGGUGUAGCAGUGAAAUGCGUAGAUAUCAAGUGGAACACCAGUGGCGAAGGCGAGUCUCUGGACAUUUCCUGACGCUGAGGCACGAAAGCCAGGGGAGCAAACGGG